rnacentral:rRNA from 1 species
UACGAAGGGGGCUAGCGUUGUUCGGAAUUACUGGGCGUAAAGCGCGCGCAGGCGGUUCUUCAAGUCAGAGGUGAAAGCCCAGAGCUCAACUCUGGAAUGGCCUUUGAGACUAGAGAACUAGGGUACGGGAGAGGUGAGUGGAAUUCCGAGUGUAGAGGUGAAAUUCGUAGAUAUCGGAAGAACACCAGUGGCGAAGGCGCUCACUG